CCUGGGAAAACGUGAAAAUGCAGCAUUCAUCGAAGACGAUGUGUGUGUGGAUCGGUGGGAUCUGGAAGGGGGGCUCCACCCCCUCGCGCGCACAACUGAAGCGCGCCGUGUGCCACACUUUGCUUUUGCCACACGAAAAACGAAAAUGCGUUUCCAGUUUAUUUUCAAUUCAAAAAUUCAAUUUCAAUAAUUUUUUUAAUGGCC
rnacentral:lncRNA from 1 species